AACAUUCAUUGCUGUCGGUGGGUUGGAUUGUAAAAGAAAGCUCACUGAACAAUGAAUGCA
rnacentral:pre_miRNA from 1 species